CUAUGGAGCACAAGCACAUUAGACCGAUGACCAGAAUGACUAAUGAGUUCGAUUAAAAACAGAUCCAUUGAUGUUCAAUUGGUGUACUGAACCCGAGACAUAGAAAACCAACUCAGGAAUACUCCGCAAACCGCAGCUACAUCAAUGGCGGAUCGACUUCUCCAUGCUUUACUCUUCAUCUCUUUUUCUCUUCUCCUCUUCAUCUCAUCUGCAGUCGCAUCCUCCGACGCUCCAUUUAUAGUCGCACACAAGAAAGCAACUUUGAAGCGUCUCAAAUCUGGUGCUGAACGUGUUCUUGUCAACAUCGACAUUUACAACGAAGGAUCUGCGGCGGCAUAUGAUGUAAGCUUGAGUGAUGAUAGUUGGCCUGCAGAUGCUUUUGAUGUCACCGAUGGAAAAACGUCAUCUUCAUGGGAAAGGCUUGACGUUGGUGCCCUUGUUUCGCUCUCUUUUGAGUUGGAAGCCAAAGUGAAAGGGAAGUUCCAAGGUGCUCCGGCUGUUGUCAAAUAUCGUGUUCCAACUAAAGCUGCUCUUCAGGAAGCAUUUUCCACACCAUUAUUUCCUUUGGAUAUCCUUGAGGACAGGCCUCCGGACGCUAAGUUUGAUUGGGUGAGUGUCUUUACACACAUUCAUUCGAUUCCCUAAAAUGAUUAUUUAUUUUGUUACUGAUGAUUGUUUAUUUCCAUUGUGUUGAUGAAAAAUGAUCGGCUUCUUCAUCUUUCAGGUUAAGAAAUUACUGGCUACAUAUGGUUCUUUAGUCUCAGUUAUUUCCAUAGUUGCUCUUUUUGUGUACCUUGUUGCGAGUCCUUCAAGUGUUGCCAAAGCAAACAAGAAAAAGCGUUAGUUUCUGCUCAACAGACAACAGAACGGCUUCUUUUGCAGCUUGCCUUUUGCAGUUUCACGAGUUCAUAGUUAAAAAGUCUGCUAAUGAGAAUCAAGGACUGAAGACACUUGUAAUUGAUACUUGAAAGGUAGGCAGAUAGUGUUGUAGACUUGUAGUUUGGUUCAUUUGCUCUUUUAUAGUGCUAUACUUUUCACGGCAGAAAUGGUGUUGAAGACGAGUUUGAGUUAUUUAUUAAUGUGAAGUACGUUUUUGUUAUUGACAGUAACCUUUUGUAGUCCUUCUCUUUAUGCUCCUUUCUUAAUGCAUAAAGGUUCUCUCA